rnacentral:lncRNA from 1 species
UCAGGAUUCUGAGGGCACCCAUAGCCCUUAAUGGCUUUCAUCAGCCUCGCCUGGGGCCCACCCCAUCCCAGCCCGUGGGCCUUGGAGCCCGCUUUCUGCUCAGCCUAGACUAUGUCCUGGUUUCAGCUGGGACAGAGUUAAUUUUCUUCAUGGUGGCUGGUAUUUCUGAAAAGGAGCUAUGUAAACCUCAAACUUGUAUGCAUGAACUACAUAUAGCUAGAGCUACCAGCUGCAUGCAGAUAUUUAGCCACCUCAGCACACCUGACAGUAUCUCUGCCUCAAAAAGUAUGCGGGGGAACUGGAGAAGAUUCAGAGAAGGUCAACAAGGAUGAUCAACAGCGUAAAGCAGGUAAGCAACCAAUUAAGCUAGGACUUUUCAGGAAAGGAAAGAUACACACCUACAUACAAAAGAAGAUUAUAAAAUGAUGAUACAGGAAGAGUGUGGAUAGAGAUUGAUUAUCUCUACCUUUUCCAGUACAAUAAAGUCAGAUAAAGCUGGAGGAGCA